rfam:Limnohabitans sp. 103DPR2, complete genome.
GCAGAGGACUCAUAUUUCUCAAAUGUGCCUUACACGUGGAAACUGUGUAAGGGAUGGUGUCAAAUUCGAUGAAACCUAAGUGUGGCAACACAUAUGGCAAUGUCGAGCGAAGCUUAGUGCGAAAGCACUUUGAACGUGUAGAGACUUGACGGCACCCACCUAAGUACAGCGAUGUAUAUGGUGAAGGCAAAGUCCAGCGAGUGAUGAAAGUCACAC